rnacentral:lncRNA from 1 species
GGUCUUGUAUGACUUAUCCAUUUUCUGAUGUUAAUGGGAGUUGUAGAAACCAUACAGAUUUUUUUUGGAUUAAUGUGAUUAAAGGGUUUUUAGAUUUUUCUACAUUUGUAAGAGUACCUAAUUUUAAUUGUGAAAAUGGAACAGUUGUUAAUAAUCUGCACUGUAUUGAGCUUGGUGUUAUGAAAGCUAUGUUUUCUUUCUGAUUUGAUAGUUAUUAUUCUGGUUAUAUUUUUUCUAUUAGAAGACACUGUACUGUUGUAAAUAAUCUUUUAUCUGCAAUCAGUGUGCCAAGCAAUAUAAGACAGACUCGAUGAUCAUUAAGUUGUAUAAAGCAUUGGUAAAAGGAUAAAAGUGAUAAAAUGCUAUUGGUUGGAAAUUGAUAAAUUAAUAAAAAAUGAUUGAUUCUAAUUGCGCGAAAAUAUGUUGAUUUUGGAUACUGCCUCUACCAUUAACAAAUUAAAAAUAAAAGAAG